rnacentral:rRNA from 1 species
GCCUACGACCAUAUCACCCUGAAUGCGCCCGAUCUCGUCUGAUCUCGGAAGCUAAGCAUGGUCGAGCCUGGUUAGUACUUGGAUGGGAGCUGCCUGGGAAUACCAGGUGUUGUAGGCU